rnacentral:tRNA from 1 species
GCUUGGUGGUUCAGCGGAAGAAUUCUCGCCUUCCAUGUGGGAGAUGUGGGUUCGAUUCCCAGCCAGUGCA